UAGAGGUAUAUAUUGACAUAGAGAGAGUGUCAUUCGGAGCGAAGUGACGACACCAUCUUUUUUCUUUGGAUUAGUGCUACUUCACUCUUAUACAUAGUAAAGCUGCGACAGUAUGAUAAACGUCAUUUUUAAGUUAGGAGAAGUAUGAAGUUAGCUGAUGUCUUUCCUGUUAUUUUUAUUUUAGUCACUGUUUACAUUUAUUUGUAGAUGUUUUUAGACAAAUAUUCUGUUUGGUUUUGUUUUUGAUUAAUUGUGCAGCGAAAUUGUGAUAGUAAAUUAAAUAUAAAGUUGUUUAUCGCCUACAGAACUGAAUUAUCCCAUAGUAAUUAUCAGUUUGUGUCAAUUUGUUUAAAAAAGAAAAAACACCUUUCCUUGUGUUUGACCCACUUGUAGCAAGGGCUUUCUUGUGAAUCCUGUAAAUUGCGGGAAUAGGACAGACAGGGAUAAAAUCCUCACUUUUUACUGUUCCCAAGGCUAUACAUUUCCCCCAUGCAAUACAUUUAAAUGAAUUUUAUCCAAACAAAGGCAGGAACAUUGGAUAAAAGCAAUAAGGAGAACAGACCUCAAAUUAAAAUAUGAGAGUAUACAGUAAACAUUUUAUAAGUGGAAUAAACACCAGCUAUUUUAAAUGUAGGAAAAGGAGAAACUGCUGGAACCUAACUUUACACAAAUGUUUUUGACUAUUGAAGAUUUGGAUAAACAACAGAAGUUACUUUGGGCUAUAGCUAUGUGCAGAUUUAUUUCAUUGUGGAUUACUAUGUUUAUUCUUUUUAACUAUACUUCCUACGUUGUUUGUGAGAUUAAUAUUAUUAUUUAAUUGAUUAUAUUAAUAUUUUGUAAUAAUAAUCAAUGCUUUGGUUUAACAAAUAGACAACUUAAAAUAGAAAAA
rnacentral:lncRNA from 1 species